UACGGAGGGAGCUAGCGUUGUUCGGAAUUACUGGGCGUAAAGCGCACGUAGGCGGCUUUGUAAGUUAGAGGUGAAAGCCCGGGGCUCAACCCCGGAAUUGCCUUUAAGACUGCAUCGCUUGAAUCCAGGAGAGGUGAGUGGAAUUCCGAGUGUAGAGGUGAAAUUCGUAGAUAUCGGAAGAACACCAGUGGCGAAGGCGGCUCACUGGCCCGAUAACUGACGGCUGA
rnacentral:rRNA from 1 species